UACGGAGGGGGCAAGCGUUGUUCGGAAUUACUGGGCGUAAAGCGCGUGUAGGCGGAUGUUUAAGUCAGGUGUGAAAUCCCGCGGCUCAACUGCGGAACUGCCUUUGAUACUGGCUAGCUUGAGUGUGGGAGAGGUAAGUGGAAUUCCUGGUGUAGCGGUGAAAUGCGUAGAUAUCAGGAGGAACACCAGUGGCGAAGGCGGCUUACUGGUCCGUUACUGACGCUGAGACGCGAAAGCGUGGGGAGCAAACAGG
rnacentral:rRNA from 1 species